CCUACGGGAGGCAGCAGUGAGGAAUAUUGGUCAAUGGCCGUAAGGCUGAACCAACCAAGUCGCGUGCAGGAAGAAGGAUCUAUGAUUUGUAAACUGCUUUUAUAGGGGAAUAAAGGUAUCCACGUGUGGAUGUUUGCAUGUACCCUAUGAAUAAGCAUCGGCUAACUCCGUGCCAGCAGCCGCGGUAAUACGGAGGAUGCAAGCGUUAUCCGGAUUUAUUGGGUUUAAAGGGUGCGUAGGUUGUUGGAUAAGUCAGCGGUGAAAGUUUGUGGCUCAACCAUAAAAUUGCCGUUGAAACUGGAAGACUUGAGUGUGUUUGCGGUAGGCGGAAUGCAUGGUGUAGCGGUGAAAUGCAUAGAUAUCACGCAGAACUCCGAUUGCGAAGGCAGCUUACCAAGCCAUAACUGACAUUGAAGCACGAAAGCGUGGGGAGCAAACAGGAUUAGAUACCCGUGUAGUC
rnacentral:rRNA from 1 species